AGCCAGGUCCCACGCAAUGGUACAAUGCCCAACCCCGUCAGGUCCGGAAGGAAGCAGCGGUAAGCGUUUGUCCCAUGUGCCGUGGAUCAACCUGGCUUUC
rnacentral:SRP_RNA from 2 species